rnacentral:rRNA from 1 species
CCUACGGGCGGCAGCAGUGGGGAAUAUUGGACAAUGGGGGGAACCCUGAUCCAGCCAUGCCGCGUGUGUGAAGAAGGCCCUCGGGUUGUAAAGCACUUUCAGUGAGGAAGAACGCCUGGUGGUUAAUACCCAUCAGGAAAGACAUCACUCACAGAAGAAGCACCGGCUAACUCCGUGCCAGCAGCCGCGGUAAUACGGAGGGUGCGAGCGUUAAUCGGAAUUACUGGGCGUAAAGCGCGCGUAGGUGGCUUGAUAAGCCGGUUGUGAAAGCCCCGGGCUCAACCUGGGAACGGCAUCCGGAACUGUCAAGCUAGAGUGCAGGAGAGGAAGGUAGAAUUCCCGGUGUAGCCGUGAAAUGCGUAGAGAUCGGGAGCAAUACCAGUGGCGAAGGCGGCCUUCUGGACUGACACUGACACUGAGGUGCGAAAGCGUGGGUAGCAAACAGGAUUAGAUACCCGAGUAGUC